rnacentral:SRP_RNA from 1 species
CUAACGAGAGUGGCUGUCCGCUGGGUUUCGGACCAUGACGGAAGUCAUCGGUCCGUCCUGUGUUGAAGUGCUGGGAACACCGGAGCAGGCAGGCAACUGAACAUUCCAUUCCCCCGCAGCUAUUGGUCUUGGGAUCGAGCUCUUU